AGGACGAACGCUGGCGGCGUGCUUAACACAUGCAAGUCGAGCGGAAAGGCCCUUCGGGGUACUCGAGCGGCGAACGGGUGAGUAACACGUGAGUAAUCUGCCCCUAGCUCUGGGAUAGCUCCGGGAAACCGGGAUUAAUACCAGAUACGACCACUUUUAGACAUCUGUUGUGGUGGAAAGAAUUUUGGCUAGGGAUGAGCUCGCGGCCUAUCAGCUUGUGGUGAGGUAACGCUCACCAAGGCGACGACGGGUA
rnacentral:rRNA from 1 species